UACGUAGGGUGCAAGCGUUAAUCGGAAUUACUGGGCGUAAAGCGUGCGCAGGCGGUUUUGUAAGUCUGACGUGAAAUCCCCGGGCUCAACCUGGGAAUUGCGUUUGGAGACUGCAAGGCUGGAGUGCGGCAGAGGAGACUGGAAUUCCUGGUGUAGCAGUGAAAUGCGUAGAUAUCAGGAGGAAUACCGAUGGCGGAAGGCAGGUCUCUGGGCUGACACUGACGCUCAUGCACGUAAA
rnacentral:rRNA from 1 species